AGAGCAUCAAUGAUGUGUACCUCUUUUGUUAUACUUGCACUUUGAUUUUUAGUGAAGAAUCUUAUGGGGAUGGUUUCUGAGAUGCUC